GGCCAGUUAGCUCAGUUGGUUAGAGUGUGGCGCUAAUAACGCCAAGGUUGUGGGUUCUAUCCUCAUAUGGGCCA